rnacentral:rRNA from 1 species
UACGAAGGGGGCUAGCGUUGCUCGGAAUCACUGGGCGUAAAGCGCACGUAGGCGGAUCUUUAAGUCAGGGGUGAAAUCCUGGAGCUCAACUCCAGAACUGCCUUUGAUACUGGGGAUCUCGAGUCCGGAAGAGGCGAGUGGAACUCCUGGUGUAGCGGUGGAAUGCGCAGAUAUCAGGAAGAACACCAACGGCGAAGGCAGCUCGCUGGGACGGUACUGACGCUGAGACGCGAAAGCGUGGGGAGCGAACAGG